GUACUGCAAUAAAGCAGAAAUAAAUUAUUUUCAGGGAACACAACUUUGAAAAAAAACGCUGUUCUCUAUCCCUUCUGUAAUUGCAUAAUUUUAAGUCUGGAAUGGCAUGUGUAUUUAUCAGAUACCUCAAUAAAGAUUUUGAAGAGAAAGGAAACAUGGAACUAACCUUUAACUGAGAUCCAGGAACUGUGACUUUUAGAGGUAUCACCUCAUGUAAUCCUCCUAAAACCAUGACUCAGUAUUAUUUUUAUUUGUAGAUGAAGAAACAGGUUCAGAGAGAUGCCUCACCCAGGUUGUAACGGUGACCCAAGCCUGACCCCAGAAUCACCUACCAUGUGCCUUACAUCUUGACUCUGAACCCCAGAAUCAACAAGGUAGCUGUCAGCAUAUAAAGCUUAGCCAACACCGAAAUUAACGGUAGGCAAUUUAAGGCUGAGCAAGGAACUAGCUCCACUUCAGAGAGCAUUUGUUAAACUAAAACUAAAACAUGAAAAUAUGACUUUUUAAAAAUAUCAACACAUUUUGUAAUGUUUUAUCCAUCCUAACAUCAAGUAUUUUAUUUAUUCAUUUAAUAAAUGAACUAUUUUCUGUGCCCUGUUUUUCUAGGCACAUGGGUUUAAAGAGAGGUCUUAUACUAUGGUGCUUAGCCACAUGUGCACAGAUGGCUCUCAAGGAAAGACGCUCAAGCCUAGAUCCGGAAUGAUGUAAAGGCAGUUUGUCUGGCAAAGGGCAAUUCGGAUGGAUGACACCCUUGAGGCAGGAGCCUGCCUGCCAGUAUUAGAAGUUAGGGUUAGGGUUAGCAAGUCUUCCAGGGUGGUGGAAAGUACAGGAGCUCAUAGUUAAAAAUGUAGUCAUUUAUGCAGAACAACAUAUUUACACACUAUCACUUGUUCUAUGCAUACACAAUCUUGCACAAACACAUCCUACACGAAUGAGAUAUUAAACACACUGCUUUCAUUUCAGGAAGAGAAAGUGGCUCUGGAGAAAGAAGACCAGGCUCCUGAGGCUCCAGGGCGAGGAGAAGGUCUCAGAGAUUCUAGAAACCAAAGUAGGCCAAGUUUGUAUGUUUCUACUUAUAUACAGAAUAAGCACUAAAUUUCCUUGCGUAUCUUGAAUUGGGGGUAUUUCUGAAGGAAAAUUCCUAGAAGUGAAUUACCUGGUUCAAAUUGAUUUAAUUUAAAAUCGACACAUUUCAUAAAACUCUCAAGAAGUACAUACCAAGCAACAGUGUAUAUACCAGGGACAAUUCCCCAACUCCCUCAUCAAUACUGAGCAUUAUUAAACUUCUAAGUAAAAGCUGGAGUUGCAGCAUUAUUUUAAGGUGCUUUUCUUUAAUUAGAGUGAACAUUUUCCCUUAUUUAUUAGCCGUGUGUAUUUCUUUUGUAGGAUGUGCCUUGUCCAUUUACUUAUCUGUAAAUAGUCUGCAUAAAAGAAAUUAUCCCUUUACUGCAAUCUCUAUCCCCGACAUGGGGCUCACACUCUUCCAACUGAGCCAGCCAGGCACCUCGGACUCCCUUUGAUUCUCUACCGGUUCCAUCUGGUAUGCUCCCCUCAACAUGAAAACUCAACAAGUGCUAAAGGAGAUUCUGUAACAUACACAAAAUUACUGGGCACACUAUUCGAUCAUCAGGAAGGUUUU